rnacentral:rRNA from 1 species
CGGGGGGCAGCAGUGGGGAAUAUUGGACAAUGGGCGAAAGCCUGAUCCAGCAAUGCCGCGUGAGUGAUGAAGGCCUUAGGGUUGUAAAGCUCUUUUACCAGGGAUGAUAAUGACAGUACCUGGAGAAUAAGCUCCGGCUAACUCCGUGCCAGCAGCCGCGGUAAUACGGAGGGAGCUAGCGUUGUUCGGAAUUACUGGGCGUAAAGCGUACGUAGGCGGUUAUUCAAGUCAGAGGUGAAAGCCCGGGGCUCAACCCCGGAACGGCCUUUGAAACUAGGUAGCUAGAGUCUUGGAGAGGUUAGUGGAAUUCCGAGUGUAGAGGUGAAAUUCGUAGAUAUUCGGAAGAACACCAGUGGCGAAGGCGACUAACUGGACAAGUACUGACGCUGAGGUACGAAAGCGUGGGGAGCAAACAGGAUUAGAUACCCCGGU